ACUUGUGCUCUUCAGAUCUAUGGUGGACUUUGUAGGUGUGCCCAGGCCAAACAGUGGGGCUGGACACAGGGUCGGUGGCCCAAAAAGAGUGCUGAAUUUUUAUUGCACAUGCU